AUUGAACGCUGGCGGCAGGCCUAACACAUGCAAGUCGAGCGGAUGAAGGGAGCUUGCUCCUGGAUUCAGCGGCGGACGGGUGAGUAAUGCCUAGGAAUCUGCCUGGUAGUGGGGGAUAACGUCCGGAAACGGGCGCUAAUACCGCAUACGUCCUGCGGGAGAAAGUGGGGGAUCUUCGGGCCUCACGCUAUCAGAUGAGCCUAGGUCGGAUUAGCUAGUUGGUGGGGUAAAGGCCUACCAAGGCGGCGAUCCGUAACUGGUCUGAGAGGAUGAUCAGUCACACUGGAACUGAGACACGGUCCAGACUCCUACGGGAGGCAGCAGUGGGGAAUAUUGGACAAUGGGCGAAAGCCUGAUCCAGCCAUGCCGCGUGUGUGAAGAAGGUCUUCGGAUUGUAAAGCACUUUAAGUUGGGAGGAAGGGCAGUAAGUUAAUACCUUGCUGUUUUGACGUUACCAACAGAAUAAGCACCGGCUAACUUCGUG
rnacentral:rRNA from 1 species